AGCGAACGCUGGCGGCAGGCCUAACACAUGCAAGUCGAACGAAGUCUUCGGACUUAGUGGCGGACGGGUGAGUAACACGUGGGAACGUGCCUUUAGGUUCGGAAUAACUCAGGGAAACUUGUGCUAAUACCGAAUGUGCCCUUCGGGGGAAAGGUUUAUCGCCUAUAGAGCGGCCCGCGUCUGAUUAGCUAGUUGGUGAGGUAAAGGCGCACCAAGGCUACGAUCAGUAGCUGGUCUGAGAGGAUGACCAGCCACAUUGGGACUGAGACACGGCCCAAACUCCUACGGGAGGCAGCAGUGGGGAAUCUUGCGCAAUGGGCGAAAGCCUGACGCAGCCAUGCCGCGUGGAUGAUGAAGGUCUUAGGAUUGUAAAAUCCUUUCACCGGUGAAGAUAAUGACUGUAGCCGGAGAAGAAGCCCCGGCUAACUUCGUGCCAGCCGCCGCCGUAAUAC
rnacentral:rRNA from 1 species